UUAAAUAAAAAUAUAAAUCACUUUCCAACCCCUAAAACUCUCAUGAAAUUGAGAGUGCAUUUACGCUGUGUUUGUUUACCUGUAAAAUAUUUUACAGAAAACAUUUUCAUUCUUUUCCGCUGUUUGUUUGGUGGAAAAUGACUUCCUAUUGUAAAAUCAUUUCAAAAACACAGGAAAAAAAGCCCUUUAUUUUAGGAAAACGUCUUACCAUUUUCAUUUGGUAAGACAUUUUCCAAAAAUUUUCUCCUCACCUGCAAACGAAUCCCCUUCAUUCCCACCCCGAUUUAAUGCUUGCCGCCAACCAACAACAGUUUUCAGCACCAAUCGCUGGUGUGGAUCUUUGAUUUACCCCUUUUCACCUUUCGUUGUCAAAAUCUGCACUGCACCAGUUGGCGAUGGCAUUCAUCUUCAUCUCUCGAAGGCACUUGUAAAUAUGAUAAGCAACCCUGUCAGUUCAACUGUUCCAAUUGCAGCUGAGGUUUUCAAGAAGGCAAGGACAUAUGAUGAAAAAAAGCUGUUUGGCGUCACUACCCUUGAUGUAAUUAGGGCUAAGACUUUCUACGCUGAGAAGGAAAAAGUAAACGUUGCAGGAUCGUGAGCCUUGUUCCACCAUUGAAGCUUGAAGCACCCAAAGGAAAGGCACCAUUGUAGAUUCAAGAACCAGCAACACCUUACAAUGCAAGGCCUUGGACCAUGCAGAUUCAUUAGGUCUUGUACUAAUCAAAGUAGCAGAACAAGGACCUUGAUUAACUAGUUGGUCAAUGCAUUGAUGAGUCUCCAACAUCCACAUUUAGAAACUAGAAUCCAUGCUGUCAAAAUCUAUGGUCCAAAAGUAAUGUUUGAUCGAGGUCCAACAGUGGCUUUCAAUGUAUUUGAUUGGAAAGGGGAAAGGAUUGAUCCUGCAUUAGUGCAAAAACUGACUAAUAGGAACAAUAUUUCGUUGUGCAUUGGGUGUUUACAACACAUUUGGUUCAGUGUUAAACAUAAAUAAAUGAAGGAAAAAGAUGAGUUUCAGCCUGGGAUAGAUGUUACUGCUACAAUUGGGUUCCUUACUAGUCUUGAAGACAUUUAUAAGCUUUGGGUAUUUGUUUCAAGGUUCUUGGAUGCUGAUUUUUUAGAGAAAGAGAAAUGAAGAUAUAAAGCUAUUAAUCAAAAAACAAUUGAAAUUUAGUCCAAGAACUUGUUAAUUCUUUCCUUCUUUGUAUAUUAUUGUCUGGUAUGAACUUUAUUUGUAUAUUAUUGUCUGGUAUGAACUUUAGUCCAAAAAUUAUGAUCAGGUAUCAAAAUUUGUAAUAUUAAUUGUGGUUUAUCUGAAAAAGUGUAAAUAGACUUUGGUUGUUUUUAAUUUAUGACGGUUAAUAUUUUAGCUUAAUAA